rnacentral:rRNA from 1 species
UACGUAGGGGGCAAGCGUUGUCCGGAUUUAUUGGGCGUAAAGAGCGUGUAGGCGGUUUGGUAGGUCCGCUGUGAAAACUCGAGGCUCAACCUCGAGACGCCGGUGGAAACCAUCAGACUAGAGUCCGGAAGAGGAGAGUGGAAUUCCUGGUGUAGCGGUGAAAUGCGCAGAUAUCAGGAAGAACACCCGUGGCUAAGGCGGCUCUCUAGUACGGUACUGACGCUGAGACGCGAAAGCGU